rnacentral:tRNA from 1 species
GGCUCGUUAGCUCAGUUGGAUUAGAGCGUGACGCUACGAACGUCAAGGCCGGGAGUUCGAAUCUCUCACGAGUCA